rnacentral:lncRNA from 1 species
AUGAGGCCAGAAUUGGACUUUGGUGGCUGCUUCUCAUUUGAGACUCAGAGCCUUGCAAGUUAUUCCUCUCACGACCUGAUGAACUCGCUGAUUCUCAAAUGUUGCUGGGUACCAGAACACCUGGAGAACUUAGACAGCACACAGAAGAGCAGGCUGGUUGAAGGGGUUAUACCAACUUCCCAGGAGGCUAAAACUGCUGUGUUGAGAUACCAAAUGCUUACUCACAACUACUUCUAUCUCAAACAUGUUGCUUUCUACUCAUGGAACAAAUUCAAGGUGAUGUUUCCAGACCCGAAAAAGACAAAAAAAGAAGAGAAAAGAAAGGAGAGAGAGAGACGAGCUUUUAUCAUUUAGGAAAAGGAGUUUUACCUUUAUUUAAUUGUUUGUUUGUAAGAAAAAAUAGACAAGUAAUCUUCUUUAAAAGAUGCUGCAUUACUCCCCCCACAUAUUGCAAUACAACAAUAAAAAUUUAAAGAUGAACUUAAAUAUCCA